GUCCGGGUGGAUGGAACGGGAGACACGCCGCGCUCAGAACGCGGUGCCUGAAAAGGCGUGCGGGUUCGACUCCCGCCUCGGAUA
rnacentral:tRNA from 1 species